UGUCCAUUGUCAUUUGCUGUAGACGAACGAAGUUUUUUGGGAUUCUUCCGGAAGGAUUCUGUCAUUAUUUCCUUUGGAAGCCCAAGGAUUACAAGAAAUAUAAAUGGUUAUUCAAUACUGAAGAAAUUACCUUGCCAACAACACAUCAGACACUAACGUAAGUUUACGGUUUACACAACAGUUCACGUUAAAAUUGUUCAUGAACUGUCCAAACUUGACAAUCACUGG